CUUAACUCUUUGUUAGGAGGUGCAGGGUUAAUAUUCACCAUAUCCAGAGUCAUCUGGAUACUGAGUGGCUCCUGUCCACUCUGUUUGACGCCUCCCUGUUAACUUCAAGAGCCGCCUUUGUCGCGGCUCUUUUUUU
rnacentral:sRNA from 1 species